CUUACCGCGACUGUCGAGGUUUAUAAGGCACACCGACCUCCUGGUCUUUCCUUUUUGCUUCUGCUCUCUCUUGAUGAACAGUGUCAGACGAGAGAAGUCUUUACUAUUACAAGGGACCAUGACUCUAACCAACUCAACAGCCCCGUCAUGUCUGGACCCAACUUCCUUCCUGAGAGAUUUUUUACUUCCUGGAAGCUGAAGAGGACAGAGUUGGGAUGAAGGUGCUAACAUGGUGGCGAGUUGACUGAAAUCUGGUUUCCCUCCAAAAAACAUGGAGCCUGUCAUUUUUAAGUGGAUCUUGAUGAUGCUGCCUCCUGAACACAUGGAUCAGAAUGGAAGGAUCGGACAUGGAGACUAUCACACUUUGUCCACGUCUCUGUGGUGAUGGAGCAAGUGAAGUUUGGAGAAAAAUACCUGACUACUCCUUUUGACAUCAGCAAAACCUGAUUCUACAGUCUGUCAUCUGGGUUCUUGCUAAUGCUAAUUGACAGUAUUGCUAAUCCUUCUAGCUGUGUUGUAUGGUGAACUGUCAGGAACAUCUUGAAUGCUAAUAUUUUUAGGUAAUGAAAUAUGUGCUUCUUGAUGUAGCUUGCUCUUGUAUAAGCCUGUACAGUCUGGAUAAAAUGCUGCAUAAUGAAUAAAUAUAGAACGUAUUGCAUAUUAAAGAUUCAACUGACUUGUCA